AUGACGCUGACAGCUCUGGCUGGACAGUCGACCGGCCGGUCGGUAACGCGAACAGGGCUUGGUCUUCAGAUGACCACGGUUGCUGUAGCCAAACUACAGCGGGAGUUCUCUCUAACCUCUGCCUUCUCGAGGGCCUCCAAUAAGGGCAGCCUAGAGAACAUCUCUGGCACGGGCGCAAACGGAGCAGGCGGAAAGGGAGAGAGGGAGGCGGAAAGGGAGAGAGGGAGGCGGAAAGGGAGAGAGAGCAUUAGAGAUGAAUAAAGGAUCGUUGGAAAUAUCUGUGCCAGUCAGAACGAAGGAGACACAGGGCACUGGGUUCACCCCCGCCCCCCUUCUCUGCCCUGGGUUGUGAAAUGAAGAGAUGUUCCCCCUAAUGAAGGACCGGAGGAAGGAAGGAGAGUUUGUAUACACUUUAAUGUGUCUCUCGCCCCAUUGGAGGCUCGCAGAGACUUGCCCCGGCGUGUCUGGCGCCGGGCUGAUAAGACUUAUCCUGCUCGACAGACCGUUUUCGUCAGGGGGACGGCGCCCGCGCCUUUUUCUCCCGUCGGGACCGGGAUCAUCUUUUCCCCGGUGGGAGUGAUGGCGUCCUGUCGUUGACAACGCGCAGAUAAAAAGCGAUCGGAGAUGUCUCGUGGCGUUCAGAGUCGUUGGGGGGGCUUCGGCGUGGAUGGAGGGGUGAGAGGAGGGAGGGACAGGGGGAAGGGGCAGAUCAGUGGAGGGGUGGACAGGUGAUGAAGGGAGGGAUAUAGAUGGAGGUAUGGCAGGGGGAUUUAAGCUCUUCAUAAUCUUCGGCAGAAGCAACACGUGAUAAACAUGGAAUCAAAAGGGUGUGUACUGCUAGAUUCAUACAAGUAACACAAUGACCUCCCUCGUUCAAUCCCGUAGGCCCUCAGUUUAAAUAACAAGGGCUGGUUCCCUCACCAGGUCUAGAAAGCAUUCUCAAUGAAAAAUGUGUUUAGUCCAGGAACAGGCUUAAUCUGGUUCCAGAAAACAGGCCCUGAAAUAGGUUCUGCUGAAUGAUAUUAAUGGUAAUAUAGGGAAGUGUCCAAAUCAUUGUUGCAUCAUCAAAAAGGUAGCCACAUAUGAGUGCCUUCUCAAACCUCGAAACCAACCUGAAAACAAAAAUACACUUUAAUCACUCAUCUCCGGGACUUGGAGGACUGUUUUUCUCUGAUUAAUGGAGCAGAGAAUNNNNNNNNNNACACCCAAAGUAAAAGACUCAACAACUAAACUUAAGAACUGGGAGCAUAGAAGUAGCACACAUAGAACAGAUCUACAGAGUCUUAGACUUGCUUUCAAUGCGAAUGACAUAUCUAUAACUAACAUUUCUAUGUCCAUUUGUUCGGUUCGACCAAAAAGUGACACAUUGCAGCUUUAAAAGACACAAAGUCACAACAAG
rnacentral:lncRNA from 13 species